rnacentral:rRNA from 1 species
GUAGCAAUACAUCGGCGGUUCUAGUGGCGCACGGGUGAGUAACACGUGGGUAACCUGUCCUUGAGUUCGGGAUACCCUCUCGAAAGGGAGGCUAAUACCGGAUACGUUCCUCGGGUUGCGAAAUCUGAGGAGGAAAGGUGGCGCAAGCUGCCGCUCUUGGAGGGGCUCGCGGCCUAUCAGCUAAUUGGUGAGGUAACGGCUCACCAAGGCUAUGACGGGUAGCUGGUCUGAGAGGACGACCAGCCACACGGGAACUGAGACACGGUCCCGACUCCUACGGGAGGCAGCAGUGGGGAAUUUUCCGCAAUGGGCGAAAGCCUGACGGAGUGACGCCGCGUGGGGGACGAAGGCCUUCGGGUUGUAAACCCCUGUCAGAGGGAAAGAAGGGUGUCGGCGCGAUAACCGCCGGCACUUGACGGUACCUUCAGAGGAAGCCCCGGCCAACUCUGUGCCAGCAGCCGCGGUAAGACAGAGGGGGCAAGCGUUGCUCGGAAUCACUGGGCGUAAAGGGCGCGUAGGCGGGAUGGCAAGUCGGUCGUGAAAUCCCUCGGCUCAACCGAGGAACGUCGGCCGAUACUGCCGUUCUUGAGGGAUGCAGAGGAGACUGGAAUUCCCGGUGUAGCGGUGAAAUGUGUAGAGAUCGGGAGGAACACCGGUGGCGAAGGCGGGUCUCUGGGCAUUUCCUGACGCUG